UGUAGCCUCUCUCUCGCCCAUCCAUCCCCAUAAAAUAAACUAGGCAGACUCCCCGUUCGGCCCUGCCUCUGCCUCUCUCUCUCUUUCUUUCAGAUCUCGCCCAUCCAUAAAAUAAACUAGGCAUCGCAACCAUGCCAUCUCUACCACGAUUCAAUCCUACCAGGUGCGCCGCGCCGAUCUCCGUCUAACGGAACGGAUCCAGCCGAGGACCUGUUCUUGAGCAUCGAGGGGAUUUUGGCCUGCGGCGCGACUUAGGCCCUCCGCUCUGGGGGCGGACGGAGCUAUAGUGCAAAAUCUAGGAGCCGUGGCCUUAAUCUCCCUCCACCCAUGUGUGCAAGGUUGAGCAAGGCCUAAAGGAAUUCGACGCCUUCUAAAUCAGGCCACGGAGAUUCACGCCAUGUGUGCUGAUUUUGUCAUGGAUCUUGGCGCUGCAAAGUCCGACUACCACAUAGUUUGCCUGCCUUGCAGGUGUCAGACAAGGUGACCCAUUCUUCCCGUUGAUUUUUGUGCUGGCAGCUGACCUUCUGCAAGCUGCGGUCAAUGACGCUUUUCGUCAACAGAAAAUCCAGUUGCCAAUUCCGGCUAGGGGCUCCACUGAUUAUCCUGUCAUUCAAUACACAGAUGACACUAUACUCUUAAUGCCAGCCUGCCCCCAGCAGGUCAAGAACAUGAAACUCCUCCUCACGGACUAUGCUGAAUCCAUUGGGCUUAAAUUGAACUUCAGUAAAUCUCUGCUGAUUCCCAUUAAUGGACGAGGCCUUAGCAACCCACCUUGCUCAGCUUUGGCAAUGCAACAUUGGCACUAUGCCUUUUACUUAUCUAGGCUUGCCCAUGGGGACUACGAAGCCCUCCAUGGUUGACCUAAUGCCCUUCGUGGAGCGUACUGAACACAAAUUAUCGUCCACUCUUUACAUGCUGGACCAGGGGAGCAAGUUGACUCUUCUCAACUCUCUGAUCACAUCCAUGCUAAUAUACCCAAUGUGCACAUUGAAGUUUCCACCCAAGCUAAUUGAACACCUGGAUAAGAUACGUAGAAGAUGCUUGUGACGCAAGCAAUCUGAUCAGGGAGAGAUUGUCAACUCUUUGGCUGCUUGGGAUCUCGUUUGUCGUCCAAAAACCCAUGGUGGACUUGGCAUCAUCAACAUCAAAACACAGAACAUUGCUCUCCUGCUGAAGUUUCUUCAUAAUUUCUACAACAGAAAAGACCUCCCCUGGGUUAACUUGAUCUGGGCCACGUACUACAAUAACAAAGUGCCGCAUGCCACGGAGCCAUGCGGCUCCUUCUGGUGGCGCGAUGUCAUGAACCUGUCUGACAUAUAUCGCGGGAUAUCUUCGGUGCAUAUUGGCGAUGGGACAACUGCCCUUUUUUGGAAGGAUUUAUGGAAAGAACACAUAACCCAAGAUGAAUUCCCAAGGGCCUUCUCCUUCACUAAAUUGGAGGAUGCCUCAGUUGCAAGCUUUCUGGCGAUCAAUAACGUGCAAUCUGGCUUUCAUCUUCCCCUCUCUGUUCAAGCGCGAGAAGAACUCAGGCAUCUUCAGGAAUUUAGUGCUGACACAGAGCCUGACGUCGCCACAAAGGAUAUUUGGACCUACACAUGGGGACCACACUAUACAUCAGCCAAGUACUACAAGUUCUUCUUUCGAAACGUCGUAGCCGAUGAUGCCUUCUCCUGGAUCUGGAAAUCCAAAUGCACGAUGAAAAUAAAGAUCUUCACCUGGCUACUCCUGGCCGACAGAGUUAACACAAGAAACAUGCUAAAGAGGCAACACUAUCAUGUGGGAGAUGAUGCCAACUGUUCAUUAUGUACCCAGCAAGAGGAAGAAACGGUUGAGCACUUAUUCUUCAGGUGCCCUUUCAGUCAACAAUGUUGGGACAUUCUCGGCAUCACAUGGCCAAGUAUUGGCAACAGACUCUCUCUCAUCCAUGCAGGGCGUCGGGCCUGGCAAACACACAUAUUCAUGGAAAUCUUCAUGUUGUCUGCUUGGAGCAUUUGGAAGGAACGCAACGGCCUAAUAUUUAGGGGGGGGGGGGGGGGGUCCCACACACCCUUGCCUCAUGGAGAGAGCGCCUUAAAGUUGACCUAGCCCUUCUAUGCCAUAGGGUUAAGCCCUCCUUGGCUGAGUUCAUUACUUUGUUUUUAGACACUACAUUGUAACUCUCAUUUCAUUUCAUCCUAUUUCUAUGAUCAAAACCCCCACACCCAUGUGGUUUGUGGUGACUUUGAUCCUAGGAAUCAUGAGCAAUUGCUUAUG